rnacentral:SRP_RNA from 1 species
GCUGGGCAUGGUGGCGCGUGCCUGUAGUCCCAGCUACUCAGGAGGCUGAAGCAGGAGAAUCACUUGAACCCAGGAGACAGAGGUUGCAGUGAGCUGAGAUCACACCACUGCACUCCAGCCUGGGUAACAGAGUGAGACUCCGUCUCAA